rnacentral:tRNA from 1 species
AACAUUGUAGUUUAAAUUAAAAUUAUAGCUUUGCAAGCUUUGGAUAGGGUUUCCUUAAUGUUG